AAGUCAUAAAUAAUGAUAUAAAAUUUACGACACAAUGUGCAACAGAAAUAGCAAAAUGUAACAGUCCUGCAUACAUCACCAGAGAGAAGUUUACUCACUCAUUCAAUCUACUUAUGAUAUUUUGAUUAAAAAACAAAAUAAAAUGAUCAAAACAAAACAAACAAAACAAGCGCUUAUGAAUUGUUCACAAUAAGAUCCAUAACAUGUAGAUAGGAUGGAAUUUCAUUCUAUGGCAACUUUAAGUUAACAUCUAUACCGAAGAUAAUGGUAAGAUGUUCAGUUUAAGACUUUUAGUAACAUUGUCAUAUUAAAUUGUUUUGAGAAAAAUUAAAAUGCACUGUACAUAUUGAAUAUAACACUACAUAUUGGUAAUUUUAGUGUUUUUCAAAAUAUACAAACACUUUUAAACAGUAUUCUGCAAUCUGAAUAAACCAUUAUUAUUUCUAUAACAUAGAGAUUCUUAGAAGUCAGGGACAUUAGAUCCGAUCACAGUUUUAUUAAACAAAAACAAACAUAUAGCAAUGAACACAGAGAUUGGGACAUCUAUAUGAAACUGAUCCGUUUCAACAGAACUUCUUGUCGGUGGUACAGACAUCACAGAUGUUUUAAGAGUUUUUGGAGUAGCCGUUGUAAUGCUAGAGCUGUAGAAUGUCUCUGUGUUUUAGUUACUUUAUCUUAAACCUUAUUUAAAUACCAAAUUCAGGAGAUAGGGCCUGUAGGUGUGAAACAUCCAAGGAUGUGACACCUUCAGCAGUCAGGGGUCAGCUUUUUUAAAAACAAGACUUAGGUGUUUUACAAGAUAACAUAUUUCAGAGUUCCUUGUGCUAUAUUCAGUAUCCACAUACCGCCACAAAAAAUCUAUUUCAGCGCUAUUUAAAAACUCGGGAUGACGAAGACGAAGAUUUAAACCAUUAUUUUAUUAAGUCAAGCAAAUUCAUGGGGAACGUACAUGGACAAACAAGCUAAGAACACCUAGAGUUCACUAACAUUACACCAGAUUCAAGGAAACACUUUGUUUUUCAAAGUUGUUUUGCCAUGUGUAAGGAAAGCAGACACACACACACACACACACACACACACACACACACACACACACACACACACAAACAAUACAACCACACAGCAAUACGCUGAAAAUGUUGAUAUUAAAAAUUGGUAAACAAUUUCGAAAGCAGUGUGUUUCAGGAAAAGUGCAAACAAAUCGAAGAAGCAUAAUAAACACAAAUGUCUCCAAACUGUUACAUCCUAAUAUUUGAGCUGGUUUCAGAGUCAAUUGACUGCUGGGAAAAACCUUGUGAAUUGUGUGAAGUUUGAUGAGGCCGAGAACACCAGUAUUGUUAAACAUGCGGUACAAUAACAAUGUUUAAUAGAAACAAGAAUCCAACUGACUGAGACUGAGUUUGUUUCACAUAUAACUGUAAAUUAUCUCAGUAAAAACAGUUCACUUGCAUUUGCUAGUUAUAACUAUUAACAUUUACGAUAUGUUAGAACAUUUUAGUAUUUUGUUGCUGAGGACAAAAACUGCUUAUCACGUUUUCAUAAAAAGAAUAACAAAUGGUAUAGACAUAGAACACAAUGUAUGUUUUCUGGAUCAGAUUUAAAGGACAGCCACCAAAAAACACUGGUGUCAAAUUAUUGGUGUUGACAGAAUAAAAAAGGGCUUGAAUUAUCCCACCUUUCACUUAAAACUACUACUUAUCAACUAUAAUUAAUUUACUUAAAGACAAACACAAAAGAACUGUGUAUCUAUGACUGUGCCAUGAAAUGCACAGCUUCAAGUGUAAUAGUUAGAAAAGUUUGAAGUGUAAUAGCCGUAUAACAGAAAAACAGCAAGACUCACUUUUCAUGUUGGGGCGUUGUGUCUUGUGAUCCCACAUCAUAGACAGACCAGAAAGAUGACCUAAAAGGAAUAUCAUUUGUUUAGUCUUAAGCAGUGUCAUGUCGAAGAACUAGAAGAAGCCGUUUAAUUCUCUUUAUGAUGUAUUCGAUAGUGUUUUCAUUAACUCCUGUGAACAUGUUUGACCACAUUCUGAGAGUAGUCUUUACAAACUGUACAAACAUACAAAAACAAAGAAACAAAAUGUAAACAACAUCAUCGACUAGUGGAAAAAUGUCAUUUACAAAACAACAUAAACUUUCACAAUAGACCAGGAGAGAGGAUUUCUGUAUUCUUUAUAGCUAAUUGUUUUUUUCCUAUAUGCCUUACACAAGUUCAUAGUAAAUUAGUCUCUUGAAUGUACUUUUAUGCAAAUGUAAUACCUGUACAAAGAUUGUUUGAUUUUAUAUAGCCUUUAUGUGGCAGGAGGGGUUAUUGUUGCUUACGUCACAAUGUUUUAGCUUAUUGGCAGUGUCACUGGGCUAUAAAAACGGGAACAUGCGCGUUAUCUGGGAUGCGUCAUUUGGGGAACUGUUGCGUCGUUAACGCGCUUCCGUCACUUCCCGGAACUGGAUGUGAGUGCUCGACACGGUAAGAACGCGCUGCUAGUUAUCUUGUUUUAUAUGGCCUGUGUGUUUACGAGAGGCGUACACUUUAUCUAAUGUGUUUUAGAGACUGCAACUUGGUUGGAGAGCAGUUCUACCUGGACUCGGCGAGUUUUGCUGCAAUGUCGUUUAUUAUUGUUUACAUGUAGUGGGUGUAGACAUCGAAGAAGCUGUGAGAACCAGAUGCACUUGCUGGGUCGCUGUUUUCUGUACCGGCGUUUGCUUGAAAAGACUCUAUUUGUUGGCUCUUUAUAGAAACAUUAAUCCCUGCAAUUGGUAAGUAUUCAUGCACACGCAUAUGAUGGUGAGAGAAUAUAUCUAACAGGGUAACAGUCUCGCUUUAUCUAUAGGUGUUGUGACGGCCGUAACUGCAAUCUAUUCGGGGUGCUCCGCGUUUGUUAUGGCUGCAGUGCUGUCCUGUUUCCAGUUUCUAAUUUUCUUUCUUCGUUAAUUUUUCUUUUCUGACUGCUUUAUAUCUUGUAUAUAUCUAUAUAUAUACAAUAUAUCUAUAUCUUAUAUCUAUAUUUUGUUUGCUCUUUCCAGUUGUAUUAAUACUAUUUUUGUCUUUGAAGCUUGAAUCAUUUCAGUUUAAAUUCCAAUUAUUAUAUUUUUGUGACUUUCUUUAGUCUAUUUCUGCUUGUUUCUUUAGUUGCAUUAGAUUGCUGUAUUGUUUUUGGGGUUUGAAUUACCUUUGUCUCUAAUUUUGAUUAUAUUUUUGUGAUUCUUUACUUAUUAUUUGAUUUGCUUCCCCCAGUGGCGUUAGAUUUUGUUUUGUGAUUUAUAUCAUUUGUUUAAAGUGUAUUCUGUUUUUUUCUUUUUUGUUUACUUGUAUUUUGUUGAAAUUUUGACUUUUGCUUUAAGCAAUCAUUUGUUACCAACAUUCAUUUGUGUUAUUUGAUUGGUUGAGUUGCACUACCCAGUCUCUAAAAGUGAUUGUGUGCUUGAUUCUGAUCACUUUUGUCUCGGCAGGGCCUGAGCACCAGGGGCAGAGGACUGGUUUUAGGUGGUGGUAUAUCCCUCACAAGUGUGCCGUGACCACCUCACCGUGUGUGUGUGUGUGUGUGUGUGUGUGUGUGUGUGUGUGUGUGUGUGCGUGUGGACACAGUAAAGUGCAGUGAUUCACCUACAGGUGGUGUGGUCUGAUUAUCCGUUUUUACUGGUAAGCUCUAGCCCCUGCCCUCGACUUGUUCUAAGAAUCUUAAGUGGCCUGUGUGGCUGGGACAAAUGUCUAAUUGUUUGUUUUUAAUAUUGUUUUUAAUGAUGUCAAUAAAAUAAUUUUGUACUGUUA